rnacentral:rRNA from 1 species
GACAGAGGGUGCAAACGUUGCUCGGAAUCACUGGGCGUAAAGGGCGUGUAGGCGGGAAGGAAAAUCAGAUGUGAAAUCCCUGGGCUCAACCCAGGAACUGCAUUUGAAACUCCCUUUCUUGAGUGUCGGAGAGGAAAGCGGAAUUCCUGGUGUAGAGGUGAAAUUCGUAGAUAUCGGGAGGAACACCAGUGGCGAAGGCGGCGACCUGGGCCAAUAUUGACGCUGAGGUGCGAAAGCGUGGGGAGCAAACAGG